CCAAACUUAUAGUCAACAUAUUAAUGUGGUUUCUACACAGAAUCAAGAUUGCACACAUGAAAUUGUAUCUUCUUCAUGUGAACUAACCUUUCCAUGUAAUGAAAGUAAUUGAUCAAGAACGCCAUCACCAAGAACAUCCACCAAGGACACCAAUACAGAAGAUAAUUUAUCUUUAUCAGAAACAUCAUCAAAGCGACAAUUAGAAGAUGCACAGAUGCCCA